CGUUAAAGCGAAAGUCUAUACAGAUUUCAUGCCCCUUGUCUAUACAAAUUUAUCUGCCGUAAACCGUCUGACAGAACGAUUUUCAGCAAAACAUCAGGAAAAUGGCCGCCAGCCGAUGUUUUCAACUAGACGAGUAUGAAAGGGAAUACAGUGUUAGAUAUCAUCGAGUAGAUCUAUAUGUGACCAAAGGGUUUCAGAAGUCUUGGUGGACAGAGGGAUAGUAUGAAUGCUUCAGUGAAAUUAAGGAGCUCAGGUUCUAACAAGCGUAGUAGAGCAGUGCAACACAGAGGUACUCCAAUGUGGCAACUUUUUCCAGACAGUGAUUACAGCGAGGCUUGAAGACUACUGUACACAAUUUCUUAACAAAUCCAAAAAACAAAGCCGUGUAACAUUCAACUAAGUGAUUCAAAGAAAAUCAAAUUACAAACAAGAAAAGGGUUUCGAUUGAAUGGAGUGACAUUUUUACCCUGAAGCGUCCUAUUAAGAUAAGAGAAUCUAGUCGUUUGUGCCAACGGCACAAAAUUAUCAGACACAUAAGUAACAUUCAAAUAGUUAUGCAUUUACAUGGAGGAUAUGACAUAAUUGUAUUUUCAUAUUGAAUUUAUCAUAUAAGUUGCCAGUUGAUCGAACCACACACUUAAAUUGCCAACAUGGUUGGAAGGGUCUUAUUGUCCAAGCUGCAAAGAGUGUAUACCCUUAUAAAUUAGCUGGCACAGUUGUG